GCUUGUCUCAAAGAUUAAGCCAUGCAUGUGAUCAGUGCAGUCCUUGUACGACGAAACUGCGAAUGGCUCAUUAAAACAGUUAUCGUUCAUUUGGUAAUCAUCUACUACAAGGAUAACUGUAGUAAUUCUAGAGCUAAUACUUGCGUUUUCCCGACUUCUCGGAAGGGAUUGCAUUUAUUAGAUACAAACCAAUCGGUGGUUUACCACUGCUAUAUGGUGAUUCAUAAUAACCGAACGAAUCGUAUGGCAUCAGCUGGCGAUGAAUCAUUCAAGUUUCUGACCUAUCAGCUUCCGACGGUAGGGUAUUGGCCUACCGUGGCAAUGACGGGUAACGGAGAAUUAGGGUUCGAUUCCGGAGAGGGAGCCUGAGAAACGGCUACCACAUCCAAGGAAGGCAGCAGG
rnacentral:rRNA from 1 species